ACUUACCCAAUUCUGGCACGGAGAGGUAGUGACGAAUAGUAACGGCCUUGUGACUCGGCUGAGGCCUCAGGGUUGGAAAAAGAUUGUACUAAACCAUCUAUCGUGGAUUGGAGGGCAAGUCUGGUGCCAGCAGCCGCGGUAAUUCCAGCUCCAAUAGCAUAUAUUAAACUUGCUGCGGUUAAAAAGCUCGUAGUUGGAUUUUACAUCCGGGCCGGUAGCCCAUACGUGUCGCGUGUUUCACGCUCGCUGCGUAAGAUGCGUUUUCUGUACCCUCGCGCAUACCCUCUUCGUUAUUGCAUCACCCGUUCGUGUCGUGACACUGGGCGGUGGUUUUUACCAACGUGCAUCUCGUAGCAUGGGCUCUUUUUUANGAGUUUGUGUUCGGUUGCUGCCNUCGCAUUUCGCGCGAUGCCAAAAAUGUACGCACUGUUCUCGUUGCGGGAGAGUAAUAACUUGCGAUUCGUCGUUUCAGUGUUGCUCUCGUUAUCCGUCGGGUUCACGUCGUACUCUUCUGGUGCGUUUGUGGCGGUACUGUGUUAACGACGGUACGGUUUUGCUUGACGAAUGGUAGUAACGUUCGUGCAGGCGCUGAAAAACUUUCCAGCGAGUGAGCUCGCGGGCGGUGGCUUACUGUCGGUCUCCGGAGCGAUAAANUCUGUCGGUUCACACAAGGGGCGUGCUCUUCAAUGAGUAUGUUUCCUGCCGUGGCCGAUACGUUCNCUUUGAAAAAAUUAGAGUGCUCAAAGCGGGCGAUCGUAAAAACGCUCGAAUACCACUGCAUAGAAUGAUGGAACAGGACCUCGGUUCUGCUUUUCCGUCGGUUUAAUGUUCCUGAGGUAAUGGUUAAAGGGGACAGACGGGGGCAUUAGUACUGCGGCGCGAGAGGUGAAAUUCUUUGACCGUCGCAAGACUACCUACUGCGAAAGCAUUUGCCAAGAAUGUUUUCAUUAAUCAAGAACGAAAGUUAGAUGAUCGAAGGCGAUUAGAUACCGCCCUAGUUCUAACCGUAAACGAUGCUGACCAGCUAUCCGCUCGCGUCAAACCCACGACCGAACGGGAUACUUCCGGGAAACCACUUAAGUUGGAGCUCCGGGGGGAGUAUGGUCGCAAGACUGAAACUUAAAGGAAUUGACGGAAGGGCACCACCAGGAGUGGAGCCUGCGGCUUAAUUUGACUCAACACGGGGAACCUCACCAGGUCAGGACAUUGUUAUGAUUGACAGAUUGAGAGCUCUUUNUCGAUUCGGUGAAUGGUGGUGCAUGGCCGUUCUUAGUUGGUGGAGCGAUUUGUCAGGUUAAUUCCGGUAACGAACAAGGCUCUAUCCUACUAACUAGUCGGCGUAUCGUUUACGUCCAGUCUCUNUUNUCCGAACAGGCUAUAUUUGUUCCGCCUUCGGCUGCAGUUUCGGUGAGGGCGUAGCGGGCGUUGGAGUUUUUUCGCCAAGUUGGGGUUUUUGGUGUGANGGCGGAAUCGGAUGUAAGGCAGGUCUCUUGUUAGGUCUGUCGGUACGGCAGCUGCGUGGCUUUUUUUGUCACGAUCAGUCUGUCCGUGUGUUCGAAUUCUCGUUUCAUUACGUAGCCAUCAUCCAGCCUCUCUUUGCGGGCCGGCGUGCCGACGUUCUCGCUGUUGCAGUCGUUCCAGCGGAGUGAAGUCUGAAAGGGGUCUGAGCUGGGGUGCGUACGCUAAAUGUAAUCUUCUUAGAGGGAUCGGCGGCAGAAC
rnacentral:rRNA from 1 species